rnacentral:rRNA from 1 species
CCUACGGGGGGCAGCAGUGAGGAAUAUUGGUCAAUGGGCGGGAGCCUGAACCAGCCAAGUCGCGUGAGGGAAGACGGUCCUAUGGAUUGUAAACCUCUUUAGGCGGGGAGCAAUGCCGGGCACGCGUGCCCGGAGGGAGAGUACCCGCAGAAUAAGCAUCGGCUAACUCCGUGCCAGCAGCCGCGGUAAUACGGAGGAUGCGAGCGUUAUCCGGAUUUAUGGGGUUAAAGGGGUGCGUAGGCGGAUUUUUAAGUCAGCGGUAAAUUGUCCGGGCUCAACCCGGGCCGGCCGUUGAAACUGGGGAUCUUGAGUGGGCGAGAGGUAUGCGGAAUGCGUGGUGUAGCGGUGAAAUGCGUAGAUAUCACGCAGAACUCCGAUUGCGAAGGCAGCAUACCGGCGCCCGACUGACGCUGAGGAACGAAAGCGUGGGGAUCGAACAGGAUUAGAUACCCUUGUAGUC